UAGGGAAUCUUCCGCAAUGGGCGAAAGCUUGACGGAGCAACGCCGCGUGAGUGAUGAAGGUCUUCGGAUCGUAAAACUCUGUUAUUAGGGAAGAACAAAUGUGUAAGUAACUAUGCACGUCUUGACGGUACCUAAUCAGAAAGCCACGGCUAACUACGUGCCAGCAGCCGCGGUAAUACGUAGGUGUCAAGCGUUAUCCGGAAUUAUUGGGCGUAAAGCGCGCGUAGGCGGUUUUUUAAGUCUGAUGUGAAAGCCCACGGCUCAACCGUGGAAGGUCAUUUGAAACUGGAAAACUUGAGUGCAGAAGAGGAAAGUGGAAUUCCAUGUGUAGCGGUGAAAUGCGCAGAGAUAUGGAGGAACACCAGUGGCGAAGGCGACUUUCUGGUCUGUAACUGACGCUGAUGUGCGAAAGCGUGGGGAUCAAACAGG
rnacentral:rRNA from 1 species